rnacentral:misc_RNA from 1 species
GGAAGUAAAAGUCAUAACAAGGUUUCCGUAGGUGAACCUGCGGAAGGAUCAUUAAAGUUAUAGUCCCCCGGCCCUCUGGGCUGGGGUCUUCUAUACCACCCUUUGUUUAUUACACCUUUGUUGCUUUGGCAGGCCUGCCCUCGGGCUGCUGGCUCCGGCCGGCUCGCGUCUGCCAGAGGACCUAAACUCUGUUUGUAUGUGAAGUCUGAGUACUAUAUAAUAGUUAAAACUUUCAACAACGGAUCUCUUGGUUCUG